GGCACAGUGGUGGAUAGAUGGAACCACACCUGCAGAAAAUGUCCAGUGUGCUUGCGAGGCAAUUGAGCAGGAGGAGCGUGUUCGAAUCAUGCCUGUGCCA